ACAUCAAGAGAUGCGGACUGUANCUGUUUAGGUCGGAUUACUUAGCUGGUGGGGUAGUGGCUCAUCUGGGCCACCAUCUGUAACUGGUCUGAGAGGAUGAUCAUUCGGACUGUAAUUGAUUGACGUUCUCCACUCCUUCCUCCGGUAUCUCUGGGGAAUAUUCCUUAAUGGGCGAAAGCUACAUGCUGCCAUGCCGCGACAGUGAAUGCGGUCGCCGAUUGAAAUAACCUUUAUCUUGGGAGGAAGGGCAGUAACUAAUACUUUGCUCUUUUGUCCUGCUGACUGAAUACCCACCGAUUUACUCAGUGUUAAUUGGAUGUC
rnacentral:rRNA from 1 species